GGGCUUGGAGAUCGAUCAGUGAAAAAAGAGUGAAGUGUUCUUCUCAAGAGCUAUGAGGAACAAAGAAGAACUACUUAGCAUACUUCUAUUUGCUCAGGGUACCUUUCCAAUGAAAUAUCUAGGUCUUCCCCUGUCACCUAGAAUGUAUACAUGAGUGAUUGUUAGGGAUUGAUCGGCUUGUUGAAAAAGAUGAUAGCAGAUUGAAAAUACAAACUACUAUCACAUGCUGGGAG
rnacentral:lncRNA from 1 species